GACCCGGGGGCAGAGCUCGGGGGCGCGCACGGGGCUGCGAGCUCCGGCCAGAACAGAAAGAGGGACGCACGGAGGGUCCUCCCUGCUUCUCCUUGCCUGAGGUGACCUGGAGCUGCUCCAGUGCCAGCUGACCCGGUACAGGAGAGGUCUCCAUUUCAGGGAGGACUUGUGGCCACUGCUCAGUGUCGAUCCAAGGCUCCAAUGGCUGACCCUCCAGAGACUCUGCCUGCGUGGGCGCCUACUCCACAGCCUCUGCUGACCUCCCCCGGCCUACUCCGGACAUUAACCUCCUGCAUACUUGCAGCCCUGUGGCCUCACCUCCCAAAGCCCUGGGGGUGGGGUAUCAAUGCUCAAGUCCUCCCUGGUCACAGACCCAGCAAAGAGCAGACACCAAGCCACAGGAGCUCCACGCAGGCUGUGGGCAGGAAUGUCCACCCCCCAGAGGAACUGGGGCCCAAGAGAGGCCAAGAGAAGGAUCUACCUGGUGAGCAAGCCUGAAGUCCAGCUUGAAGCCCACCUCACCCAUUACAGUCGAUCUGAAACACUGACAGCACAUCCUUUGCCUCGUUCUAGCUUGCCAGUGAGCUCCCAAGAAGCUCCUUGAAAUCAGGGACUGCGUUUCUAUUUCUUCUGCCCACAUGGGCCACGGGUGCAGAAUGCAGAGCAGGCCCUAAGUGUGGACUCAGUAAAUGAACAAGCAGACAUUGUGGGAACCUCCGAAGAAACCAUCAUGGUCAGAGACGCCUGCACCAGCAGUCAGGAAAGGUACAUGGGUGUGACCCAGCAGACUACGAAGGAAGUAAAACAGCUCCAGACUGCUGUUUCCAUGGAAACCCAAUGUCUUCCUGUCUGCUCCCCGACAAUCAGUCGAUACAAGGCCCAGGAUUCCCCAGCCUCAGCUUGAGUCACGUAAUUGGACCAGGCCAGGACUUAUCUAUCCCUAAGAGUGGCUCAGACAUGGACAAUGAUGCUGGAAGGCUAGUUCACCCAUCGAUUCUGCCUGCCUGCUUGAUUUGUGCCUCUAAGACUGGUGCUGCCUGGACCUGUGUGGUGUGUCUGUGUGUGUUUGUGUUGGGGUGCUGAAGACAGGCAUCCUCACCAUUGGGAGGCUGGGGGGCCCUGGGGAGCUCGAGCUCAGCUGGGUGGCUGUUGCGGGUAAUGAUGACCGGCUCUUCCAUCACAUUGAUGCUGUUGCACUGCAUCAGGUCCUGCAGGAGGUUGAAGAUUUCCUCAGCCCGGGAGCACUUGAAGGCAAAUAUCCCUGAAGAAGAGGAGGAAAAGAGAUGCUGAACAGAUGCUCAGAAUUCAGGAAAUAUCCCUGAACUCCAGUCUCAGGCCUACAGGGGGUGGAGGGCCCCCUCUCACCCUGAACACUCACCCCAAGAGCUACUGGAGAUGCUGGGCCAAGGUCCCCCGACCCAACCACGGUCCUGUGAGUUAACCCUUCAGCUAUAGUCCUCUGACGCUGAAGCACUUCCAUAAGGAUGUGUGUGUACAAGGGUAAGGGGAAGAGACUGAGAGUCAAAGUAGAAAGGACAGUAUUAGGUGAAGGACAGUUCCUGUUCACAUGCUCUCCCUAUCCUCCUUUGCAUACCCCCCUGCUCCCCAAAACAGUGAGCACCCCAGGGCACCAGACUUCUGCUCUACGACCCACAACCUCUAGGUUCCUGGAGGGCAGGAAUGUCUAUCAUGUUCACUGCUUGUCCACUGGGGACUUAGCCCAGUACCUGGCCAAAGAAUGAAUGUCUACUGUGUACAGGCCCCUGACAUCAUGGCACAUUGACUCUGGGGCAGAAAGAAAGGGUGCGUUGACGAGCUAAAAAUAUGGCAAGGCAACCAGGUGACGACUUUACAACCCCUCAAACUCCAAUGCAAAGUCCCGGGGGCAGCAGGAUGGAGAUAAACACCGUGACUCAGAGUUGUGGGCCAGCCUGGGGUUCUACAGCCCCCUACCAGAGGCGCAGGAUUCAGAAGAGGCUCCUUGGGGCAUGUAUGUGCAUACACCCACAACAAAAGUCACUAAAACUAGGUCAGGGCAUGGGGCAACUGGGAUAGGAGGAACAGAGGGGACAAAAAAUUAUUCUGGCAAGAUAUGUCAAGGGCUAGUAAAAGCUGGGAAAGUCUGGAGUCUUAGGAGAACCCAGCCAAGUAUAGAUCAAGCACCAGCAGAAUAGAAAUCUCCUCCUGCUCAAUCCCUGCUCAGCAAUGUUAACUGACUUGCUUCAAAGCUUUAUUUUUUUUUAAAGAUUUAUUUAUUUAUUUAUUUAUUUAUUUAUUUAUACAAGAAUCAGGGUACAGGCCAGAUUCACGGGAGGGUAAGAGGAUUCACCAGAGACAGAGCGGGGAACAGAACAGGCAGACUGACUGAAAUACACUGCCGAGGGGAGCAGCAGGCAUGACAGGAGAGGUCAGCUGCGCCAUCACCCUCACCGGCUGGGAAUGAACGGGCACUGCAGAGGCUGCGGACAGCUUCACAGGGCUGUGCUCAACUGCCUGCGCCACCAGGGGAGGCCCUGCUUCAAGGCUUUAAUGGAAAGAUGCAUGGAGGACACUCCUCCACUACUGCCUCAGAGAACAGCUGCACCAGCAGCCUGGUCAGGGCAGCUCAUUGACUCCACCUCUCAAAGUUAAAGCCCGAAACUACACUGACCACAAUCCCGCAUGGCUCCCUUCAGCACAGCUCAGGUCUGGCCCUAAAAGAUCUGUCCAGCCCAGCCCAUGCCAUUCUUUCAAAGAGCUCAAGCCUUCGCCUCAUGGAACAGCCCAGGAUUCCCUGACCUCUAGUUGCAGAGAGAAAAGAGAGGAAAGAGAAAACAUCACACUCCUUUGCCCAGUGAAAAGAACAAAGACCUGUCUCUUAAGGAUCACUCUGUCUACUUACUAGGGACCCAAGAGUCCUGCCUCCCAAAUAACACAGCCCCCGGGCUGCCAGUGCCUCCUGCCUGACCUUUCGUUAUUCAGGGUGUCCAAGCUACAGGACCAGGGAAACCUCAAACCAGCAAACCUCAGGAGAAAGUUUGUUCCCAAUUAGGGGGCAAUGGUGAUCCAUAAAACUGGAAGGAGGAGGACUCUCUUGCCUUCAGAGGCAGGUUCUGGCCUGAGAACACUGGUUCCUUCCCAGGGGCUAAGCAACAAAUUUUCCCACAGAGGGGCCUAGGUCGGAGCCGCAAUGACUCAAGAGAAAUGCCCUGAGAAUCAAGUUACUUCUGCACUAACAAGCUGUGUGCAAUGGCCGUGACCCUGCCCCUCAGUGGGCAGCACCUGUUAUGUCAUUAGACACCCCCAGCACCCCCUGAGCGACCAGUUCCAGCUUCAGUACCUGGGUGGGUGAGUCAGGGGCUGGUACUUACCCUGGCCCGUCUGACACCGGCGGCCACUCUCAAAGGAGAAGAGGUUGGAGUCGUACCCAUAGCGCCGCAGGCAGAGGUAGGGCCAGCGGACAGCCUCGCGCCGGUGUAGGUGCAGCACCAACUCACUUUGCGUCAGCUCCAUCACUCCAGAGCCCAGCUCCACCCCCUCGUCAUCCACAUUCGUCACCUGG